GGGCCCAUAGCUCAGUUGGUUAGAGCAGUCGACUCAUAAUCGAUUGGUCCCUGGUUCAAGUCCAGGUGGGCCCACCA
rnacentral:tRNA from 2 species